rnacentral:rRNA from 1 species
UACGUAGGUGGCAAGCGUUGUCCGGAUUUAUUGGGCGUAAAGGGAGCGCAGGCGGUGACUUAAGUCUGAUGUGAAAGCCCACGGCUCAACCGUGGAAGGUCAUUGGAAACUGGGUCACUUGAAUAUAGAAGAGGAAAGUGGAAUUCCAUGUGUAGCGGUGAAAUGCGUAGAUAUAUGGAGGAACACCAGUGGCGAAGGCGGCUUUCUGGACUGUAACUGACACUGAGGCACGAAAGCGUGGGGAGCAAACAGGAUUAGAUACCCCGGUAGU